AAGCCUGAUGCAGCCAUGCCGCGUGUGUGAAGAAGGCCUUCGGGUUGUAAAGCACUUUCAGUCGUGAGGAAGGUAGUGUAGUUAAUAGCUUGCAUUUACUUGACGUUAGCGACAGAAGAAGCACCGGCUAACUCCGUGCCAGCAGCCGCGGUAAUACGGAGGGUGCGAGCGUUAAUCGGAAUUACUGGGCGUAAAGCGCAUGCAGGUGGUUUGUUAAGUCAGAUGUGAAAAGCCCGGGGCUCAACCUCGGAAUAGCAUUUGAAACUGGCAGACUAGAGUACUGGUAGAGGGGGUAGAAUUUCAGGUGUAGCGGUGAAAUGCGUAGAGAUCUGAAGGAAUACCGGUGGCGAAGGCGGCCCCCUGGACAGAUACUGACACUCAGAUGCGAAAAGCGUGGGGAGCAAACAGGAUUAGAUACCCUGGUAG
rnacentral:rRNA from 1 species